AUGGGCGAUUCCUUGCUAUCUGAACCCACCCUCACAGCAGAGCCCGCUCCCUCCCCUGCAGCAGCAACACCCAAUCCUGCAGCGGCAGAACCUGGAGUCUCUCUAGCUCCUCCCACUAGCACAGCAGCUGCCACCUCCCCUGGCGCCGCCAGUAUGGAUCUGUUGGGAGACCCCUUUGUUCCCUCAGAUGGUAACACCAAUACAGCGUCUUCAGGUCUAGACCUUUUCAGCUUGAUGACAGUGGAGAGUAAUAACCCGGGUAGUUCGCUGGAUGCCUGUUUUACCUCUAUAGCUCCCCAACCAGGUCCCUCCCCUUCUCUUUCGCCUCUCCUCACCUCUGCAUCCAGCACCAUCACCACCACUGCAACCAUUUCAGCUCCAAUAUCCCCCAAUGCCACCAAUCCUGCAAAUGACCUUUUCAGUGAUCUCUUUGAUUCCAUGCCAGACACUGGCUUCACCAAAGCAGACCCCACUCCCGGCAUUGACUUGUUUACAGCAGCGGAUGUGUUCAGCUCCCCUGCCCCCAUCCUCUCCUCCGCACCCCCUCCCAAAAUUGACACGGGAGCCAUGAUGAACCUGUUUGGUGCAGUGUGA
rnacentral:lncRNA from 1 species